AUUGAACGCUAGCGGGAUGCUUUACACAUGCAAGUCGAACGGCAGCGCGGACUUCGGUCUGGCGGCGAGUGGCGAACGGGUGAGUAAUGUAUCGGAACGUGCCCAGUAGCGGGGGAUAACUACGCGAAAGCGUAGCUAAUACCGCAUACGCCCUACGGGGGAAAGCAGGGGAUCGUAAGACCUUGCACUAUUGGAGCGGCCGAUAUCGGAUUAGCUAGUUGGUGAGGUAACGGCUCACCAAGGCGACGAUCCGUAGCUGGUUUGAGAGGACGACCAGCCACACUGGGACUGAGACACGGCCCAGACUCCUACGGGAGGCAGCAGUGGGGAAUUUUGGACAAUGGGGGCAACCCUGAUCCAGCCAUCCCGCGUGUGCGAUGAAGGCCUUCGGGUUGUAAAGCACUUUUGGCAGGAAAGAAACGUCGCGGGCUAAUACCCCGUGGAACUGACGGUACUUGCAGAAUAAGCACCGGCUAACUACGUG
rnacentral:rRNA from 1 species